CGAGCGUCAUUACACCCCUCAAGUCAAACUUUUCGGUUAACUUGGUGUUGGGCCUUGCCGGAAGGCAUGCCUAAAAAUUAGCGAUGGUACGUUAAACCACGGACGCACAAAUGUCGUUACGUAGGGGGGCACGGCACCAGCCUAAUAAUUAAUUUCUCAAUGUUGACCUCGGAUCAGGUAGGAAUACCCGCUGAACUUAA
rnacentral:misc_RNA from 1 species